rnacentral:snRNA from 1 species
AUCUCUUUGCCUUUUGGCUUAGAUCAAGUGUAGUAUCUGUUCUUUUCAGUGUAACAGCUGAAAUGUCAUCAUUGAUGACCAUUUUUAAAUGUUACUUUACGAUUUUUGGAAUACCCUAUGAGAGGGAUUAGUUGGGCAUGCUCACGUCUCUCUCGUAAAGUGUCGAUGCCAUUGCACUUUGGUUCUUGUGACCAUUU